GUUGAACGCUGGCGGCAGGCCUAACACAUGCAAGUCGAACGGUAACAGGAAGCAGCUUGCUGCUUCGCUGACGAGUGGCGGACGGGUGAGUAAUGUCUGGGAAACUGCCUGAUGGAGGGGGAUAACUACUGGAAACGGUAGCUAAUGCCGGAUAACAUUUGGAACCGCAUGGUUCUAAAGUAAAAGAUGGUUUUGCUAUCACUUAUAGAUGGACCCGCGCCGUAUUAGCUAGUUGGUAAGGUAACGGCUUACCAAGGCAACGAUACGUAGCCGACCUGAGAGGGUGAUCGGCCACACUGGAACUGAGACACGGUCCAG
rnacentral:rRNA from 1 species